UAAUGGUGGUGAACUUCUUGC
rnacentral:siRNA from 1 species